rnacentral:tRNA from 1 species
GUUAGAGUGGCAGAGCCCGGUAAAUGUAUAAAACUUAAGCUUUUAUUAUCAGAGGUUCAACUCCUCUCUCUAACA